GAUGCGCAGGCUGCUCCAGCCUUCCCCACGGAGCUCCGGGAACUGGGCAGUGUGAGGCAAUGCACUUGUGUGUGGACGCGGCCCUGCCCACAGGAGUCCAGGCCACAGGACCCAGGGAGCCACAGAGUCUGCACCGUGCACCGUGCACCUCCCGGCCCUUGUCUUUUGGAGCUUUUUGCCCACAGAUUUUGUCCUGCCCAGCUCUACAGCAAGGGUCACUGGCCCUCGGGAGGAGAACUUGGAGAGGCUGGUCCUGGCUUCAUGGCCACGGAGGCCCAGUGCCUGUGGGUCUGGGGGUGUGCAGGACAGCAGCAUUGGCCAGUGGUGUCCAGCACGCUUCCCCCAUCCAGCUGAGCUCCUGCCCUCCUGCAGACAGUGGCCAACUCGAGAGGAAGGAGAAGAAGAGGGUCUGGAGAGUCCCGCGUGUCCAUUCUCUCCAGGAGGGAGCUGCUUGGGCUCCGUGUUGGCAGAGGCUAGGACACACAGGGGCAGCCCUCCCUGCUCUGGCCCCUGGGGAUCAGGCACGCAGAGCUGCACCCACAUGCAGAGUGAGGACUGCCCUCAGCUCAGCCGCAGCUGUCCCCAGGGGAGAAGCAAGAGGAUGGGCGGAGGGUAAGUGCCUGGCGGCGGCUCCUGCAGAAGCUGCCCACAUCCGAGUGCUCACUGCCCGUCAAACUCCAUGCCACGCAGAGGCCGUACUGACCAUGAGGCUUGUGUUCACUGAACAAGCCCUGGAGUGUGCCCACUGGCUGUAGGCACUGUCCUAAGCUAAGUGCCAGGUGAGGAGGGGGACACGCAGAGGGACUUGCUGCCUUCAGAGUCGGGGAGAGCAGGGAGCAUCCCAAAUGAACGGCUCUCUGUGGCACAAAGGUCACACUCACAUCCCGGAAAUGCAGCCUGUGCAGCUCCAGUCCAUCUGGGCAGCUGGGCAGCCACUAAGAAAACUUCAGCUCCUUCUCACCCCCAGCCGCCCCCAGGUUCAGGACACCUGGCCUGAGUGCCAUCAUCUAGAAAGCUCUUGCUCAUCCUUCAAGGUCAACUUCAGUGUCACCUCCUCCAAGAAGCCUUCCUGGCGUCUCUUGCUCAGAACAGUGCCCGCCCUGCCCUGCCGGGGUUCUGAAGGCAGAGCCCACGCGCUCUCCUGUCUGCUGUCAAGGACAACAGGAUGAGUGGACAGCCAUCUGCAUCACAGAGCUGCAGAUGACUCAGUCAUUGAGGGAUCUGAAGCCCAAAGUUCACCUGAAGGAGAGAGAAGAGGGCGCUUCCAAAACCUCAAGCCAGGAGCCUUGCAGACGCCCGGUUUGCACAGAGCCUUCUGGGCUCUUCUGAGGCCUGGGAGGCUGACGUGGAAGAGGCUCAGCAGACCUGAGUGGGCUUCGGGGACAGGGACAGGUGACUGGGAGCCAGCCCUGACUGGACACUCCCCCAGGGCAGGUCAUCGGAAGAGGCACUUUCCAGGCCCCACCCAGGGCCCCUUCUUGUCCUCGGCUCUAACUGGCUACCAGGAGCUGGGCCUUCACUUCCGGCCCCCAGGGUCAAGCGCAGGGCCUGGCCCCAAGCCUAGCGCAGAAAGGUGGGCAGCAGCACCUGCACCACCCUGACAGGGGGGUGAGCCAGGCCUUAAAAACCCCAAGAGUUUCUGGGUUGUUUGAGGGGAGGGUCCUUAUGUUGGUAGCAAGUGACUGGCCUUCCGAAAGGUAGCUAUUUAAUGGGUAAGUGACCAAACUGACACUUCCCCAAAAGAGCAUAAAUGGCCAAUAAACAGAUGAAAAAGUGUCAACGUCAUUAGCAAUUAGGGAAAUGCAAAUCAAAACUACCCGAGAUUCAUCUCAAACCAGGCCCAGGGGCAGUCACGAAGAACCAGAUAACCAUGCUGGAGAGGAUGCGGAGAAAAGGGGCAGUGUUACGCUGUGGCUGGGCUGUAAGUGCAACCGCUGUGGAAGUCAGCGUGGAGGGACUCAAAGGCGAGGCCUGGAUCCAUCCUAUGACCCAGCAGCACCAUCCUCAGCAUCUACCCUGAAGAAUCAAUCACCACCUACAGUGAAACGUACAUACCGUGUUUACAGCAGCAGGAUUCGCAACAGCCAAGUUACGGAAUCAGCCUAGGUGUCUACCACAGAUGGACAGAUGAAGGAAAUGUGGUCUACACGCACCAUGGAGUUUACCGGCCAUAAGGGAGAAUGAGAUCAUGUCAUUGCAGGAAAGUGAGUGGAACUAGAGACCAUCAUGUUAAGGGAAUAAGCCAGACUCAGAAGUCCAAGUUCUAUGUGUCCCCACAUGUGGAAGGCAGAGAGGAGAAAGGGAAAGGAGGAAAGUCCACAGGGGGUCAGGAGGGGGAAGGGAGUGGGGAGGGAUGUGAGGGGAGAAGGGAAGUGUGGGGAGUGACCCUGGCCAAUCAUGUUGUCCUGUUGGGAGCGAGUGCAAACGUGUGACGACAAAUCCCACCAUCACCUACGAUGGACCAAUAAGAUACGGAAUUAAGAAGAGAGCUAUUUAAGCUUUUAAAAAAAUAAUAAAUUGAUUUCAGAAAAAGUCCAAGUAUAUUUUAUACUCUGUAUAAAGUAUCAUGGAAAUUAGGCUGCAGAUUCAUGAUGUCUGAGAAACCCGGGCCUGCACAGAAAUACACAGACGGGGACCACGAAGAACUCACAAGACACUUCAAAACAGAAUCAGGUGGUAUCAUCAAAGUGAUCUGAAAUUUAUAGUAGAUGGUUGUUAUUGUUAUUAUUAAUAAAAAUUAAGGCAAUCUGACUUGUCGGUGCAGUGGUGAGAAUAGCAAAUUGGGAGAAGAUGAAAUAGCAAGUUUAAGUUUGGUUUUUAAGGAUCUUACAAAUGGGGCUGGGGCUGGUGGUGGCUCAGUGGUAGAGCAUUUGCCUAGCAUGUGGGGGGUACUGGGUUCAAUUCUCAGCACCGCAUAUAAAUAAAUAAAAUAAAAGCCCAUUGACACCUAAAAAAUAUUUUUUAAAAAUGUGGCUAAUUUCUGCCAAGUCAAUGACUGAGAAGAGGUGGGCUAUUUUAUGACAUAUUUUUUAAAAAUAAAAUGGAUACAUACAUCUCACGUAAA